GGCUCAGGACGAACGCUGGCGGCGUGCUUAACACAUGCAAGUCGAGCGGAAAGGCCCUUCGGGGUACUCGAGCGGCGAACGGGUGAGUAACACGUGAGUAACCUGCCCUUGGCUCUGGGAUAAGCCCGGGAAACUGGGUCUAAUACCGGAUACAACCACUGGACGCAUGUCCUUGGUGGUGGAAAGUUUUUUCGGCUGGGGGAUGGACUCGCGGUCUAUCAGCUUGUUGGUGGGGUGAUGGCCUACCAAGGCGACGACGGAUAGCCGGCCUGAGAGGGUGACCGGCCACACUGGGACUGAGACACGGCCCAGACUCCUACGGGAGGCAGCAGUGGGGAAUAUUGCGCAAUGGGCGGAAGCCUGACGCAGCGACGCCGCGUGGGGGAUGAAGGCCUUCGGGUUGUAAACCUCUUUCACCACCGACGAAGCUAACGUGACGGUAGGUGGGGAAGAAGCGCCGGCUAACUACGUGCCAGCCGCAGC
rnacentral:rRNA from 1 species